AACUUUCAACAACGGAUCUCUUGGUUCUCGCAUCGAUGAAGAACGCAGCGAAAUGCGAUACGUAAUAUGAAUUGCAGAUAUUCGUGAAUCAUCGAAUCUUUGAACGCACAUUGCGCC
rnacentral:rRNA from 1 species